UACGUAGGUGACAAGCGUUGUCCGGAUUUACUGGGCGUAAAGAGCGCGCAGGCGGUCGUUCAAGUCGAGUGUGAAAGCCCCCGGCUCAACUGGGGAGGGUCACGCGAUACUGAUCGACUCGAAGGCAGGAGAGGGUAGUGGAAUUCCCGGUGUAGUGGUGAAAUGCGUAGAUAUCGGGAGGAACACCAGUGGCGAAGGCGACUACCUGGCCUGUUCUUGACGCUGAGGCGCGAAAGCUAGGGGAGCAAAGCGGG
rnacentral:rRNA from 1 species